CCUACGGGAGGCAGCAGUGGGGAAUUUUCCGCAAUGGGCGAAAGCCUGACGGAGCAACGCCGCGUGAGGGAUGAAGGCCUCUGGGCUGUAAACCUCUUUUAUCAAGGAAGAAGAUCUGACGGUACUUGAUGAAUAAGCCACGGCUAAUUCCGUGCCAGCAGCCGCGGUAAUACGGGAGUGGCAAGCGUUAUCCGGAAUUAUUGGGCGUAAAGCGUCCGCAGGCGGCCCUUCAAGUCUGCUGUUAAAAAGUGGAGCUUAACUCCAUCAUGGCAGUGGAAACUGUUGGGCUUGAGUGUGGUAGGGGCAGAGGGAAUUCCCGGUGUAGCGGUGAAAUGCGUAGAUAUCGGGAAGAACACCAGUGGCGAAGGCGCUCUGCUGGGCCAUAACUGACGCUCAUGGACGAAAGCCAGGGGAGCGAAAGGGAUUAGAUACCCCUGUAGUCCUGGCCGUAAACGAUGAACACUAGGUGUCGGGGGAAUCGACCCCCUCGGUGUCGUAGCCAACGCGUUAAGUGUUCCGCCUGGGGAGUACGCACGCAAGUGUGAAACUCAAAGGAAUUGACGG
rnacentral:rRNA from 1 species